CGUUGAUCUCAGGGCGCAUCUUGAAUGGUCAAGAUGCCAAGGCCGGGGCCUGGCCCUGGCAGGUCAGCGUGCAGAGAAACCGCUCCCACAUCUGCGGCGGUUCGCUCAUCUCCGAGAGCUGGGUGGUGUCAGCAGCUCAUUGCUUCAAGCUACCUGUAGUCAAUUCAGCAUAUCGGGUGUAGCUGGGUGAAAACAGGAUUGUCGGUGAGACUCCAACCCAGACGUUCUCAUCGGUGAAGCGGAUCGUCCUCCAUCCCAAUUACAACAGUAGCACUUUCCUUGCCGACAUCGCUCUGGUGGAGCUGGAGAAGCCAAUUGCCUUCACGGCCUCCAUCAGCCCCGUGUGUCUGCUCGACGCCUCCGUCCCUGUGCCUGCUGGGAACGCCUGCUGGGUGAACAUUCACCCCGAAGUGAAUUUUUCCCUAGCGGCGACCCUGCAGGAAGUGGAGGUGCCCACCGUAGACACCACGAUCUGCAACGAUCGCUUCCGAGUAGGAUUACAAAAGCCUGUGGGUGACAAUCCCAUCAAAGAAGA